GCAACUUGUAGUACUACUCAAAGUGUUUAUGUUACUGAAGGUUGUAGUUGUGACAGUACUACCCAAAUUAUUCCGAAUGUUUCUGCUACUGAAGGUUGUAAUUGUGCCUCCAGUACUACUCUACCUAUUGCAGUUAGUGUAUCAGUGACAUUUAUACUGACAGCUAUACUGUCUUCAACACUGACACUAAUACUGACACUGCUGUGUGUUAGGAGCAGAUCUAAUAAACCAGUUGAACAGGUUGAACUAGUUGAACAGGCUAAACGAGAUGAGGGAGGAUCAACAGCAUCAGUUGCUGUGUAUGAUGAGAUCACUACUACUAAAGGAGGAGCCACCAGUUCUGUUCCACUAACAAGUAAUCCAGCUUAUGGACCACUGAGAAAUUAACAUACUCAUUCUCAAGUUGUUUUUAUAUUUAGCGUAGUGUGAUUAUAGUCACUUAAUAUUCAAUUAUUUUAUUUUUUAAUUAUUUUACAUUGUUCAAAUUUUGCAUUGUUUUUUUAGUUCUGAUCUUUUUUUACGAUUUAAAAAUUUUAAAUAUACUUUUUGUUUCUCAAUG